rnacentral:rRNA from 1 species
UACAGAGGUCUCAAGCGUUGUUCGGAUUCAUUGGGCGUAAAGGGUGCGUAGGCGGCGCGGUAAGUCGGGUGUGAAAUCUCGGAGCUUAACUCCGAAACUGCAUUCGAUACUGCCGUGCUUGAGGACUGGAGAGGAGACUGGAAUUUACGGUGUAGCGGUGAAAUGCGUAGAUAUCGUAAGGAAGACCAGUGGCGAAGGCGGGUCUC